CGGGCUCUCUGGCCGCCAGGUAGAGCGUUGGUUCCGUCGCCGCCGCAACCAGGACCGGCCCAGUCUCCUCAAGAAGUUCCGAGAAGCCAGCUGGAGAUUCACAUUUUACCUGAUUGCCUUCAUUGCCGGCAUGGCCGUCAUUGUGGAUAAACCCUGGUUCUAUGACAUGAAGAAAGUUUGGGAGGGAUAUCCCAUACAGGUAUGAGUUCUGCUUCCUCAUGUGGGGGUGGACUAAGACACACCCUAGUGAAGAGACGGUUUGUGGAAUCCAUGGCAGAGGGAUUAGAGUGAUGGAAUGAAAAACCUCAGGGGCUAGGGGGUUUGUGGAGUGGGGACACCCUUGGGGCUGGUUGCUCUUACCUCUCUCUCCUCUCCCAGAGCACUAUCCCUUCCCAGUAUUGGUACUACAUGAUUGAACUUUCCUUCUACUGGUCCCUGCUCUUCAGCAUUGCCUCUGAUGUCAAGCGAAAGGAUUUCAAGGAACAGAUCAUCCACCAUGUGGCCACCAUCAUUCUCAUCAGCUUUUCCUGGUUUGCCAAUUACAUCCGAGCUGGGACUCUAAUCAUGGCUCUGCAUGACUCUUCCGAUUACCUGCUGGAGUCAGCCAAGAUGUUUAACUACGCGGGAUGGAAGAACACCUGCAACAACAUCUUCAUCGUCUUCGCCAUUGUUUUCAUCAUCACCCGACUGGUCAUCCUGCCCUUCUGGAUCCUGCAUUGCACCCUGGUGUACCCACUGGAGCUCUAUCCUGCCUUCUUUGGCUAUUACUUCUUCAAUUCCAUGAUGGGAGUUCUACAGCUGCUGCAUAUCUUCUGGGCCUACCUCAUUUUGCGCAUGGCCCACAAGUUCA
rnacentral:sRNA from 1 species